rnacentral:misc_RNA from 1 species
AAUCUUGGUAUCUGAGCUCCCACCCAGUCCGACAGCAGCCUUUGCAAGAUCUCUCCAUUUAGAGGCUUUAUUCUUCAUUUCUUCACUCCUCUCUCCAACCAUAACCUCCCUGAUACAUUUCUCAAGUUCCUGUCUCCUUACAAUCCCUUCUUCAUCUUUCUUAGCUCUUACUCCCACCUUCCACAAUUCCUCUAUAAACUUGGCAUUGGUUGGCUGGUCGCUCCACUGUGUCACCCCUACCAUUGGCACUCCUAGGCUCAGCCCCUCCAAUGUAGAAUUCCAUCCACAGUGUGUAACAAAGCAGCCCACAGCUUGGUGAGCUAGGACCUCUAGUUGGUUGCACCAUGCCACGACUAUCCCUGUCUCGCCUACUGAGCUUAUAAAAUCAACUGGUAGCUUGUUUUCUGAAUCCUUGAUAACCCAUAGGAAAGGCCAGUUGCUUACUUCUAAACCCCAUGCAAUUUCUUCAACCUGUUUAGCUGAAAUGUCUGCCAUGCUUCCAAAUGACACAUAUAUUACCGAGUCUGGUGGCUUUGUGUCAAGCCAUCUCAGGCACUGGUCAGUUGUUUGUUCCCAGAGACUGGCCCCAUAAGCUGUAUCUCCAUCAAUUUGUUGGUCUAGGUAGGCAGAUGGCAGGGUUGGACCAACCAUCACCACUGGCCACAGUCCCCUCAUGGCUCUUACUAGCUUUUCAUUUUUCAUCAGUCAAAGCAGUGAACAAGUUAGCAAUGUAAUUAUCCAUUAAAAUUACAUAUUAUCCUCUGAAAAUAUAAUUAUUAACUUCAACUAAUGACCAUUGAAUAUAAUUAUCAUCAAUCCUAAAAUAAUCCAAAUUAAAAAAAUAAUAAUAAAAGAAUUGCAUUCAAUAAAAAUUAUCCCAAACUUCAGUUACCUCAAUCUCUAGCUCUUCGAAGGAGUUGCAGAACACCCAAUCAUUUUUAUCUAAACUGUGAAAUUUCUGCAAGAUUGUUUCUAAAUAAGCAGAGUGAGUUGUUGGGGAUGCCAGAAAACUUGGCAAUUCAUAGAAGUCUAGUGAAGGAAGGCCAGGCAAAGACACAGGCACAGUUUCUUGCUUCACAGGAAGAGUGAGGAGACCCUGAUCAAUUUGCCAAUACAUGGAGCAGACAGAAGCUGAAUUGGUCAAAAAUACAGCAGCAUAUAUCCCAAGUUGUUUUGCUACAUCAACAGCCCAAGUCAGCAAUGAAUCAUACACAAUACAUGUAACAGGGAAGCCUGAGGCAUUGAACUUCAAGAUGAGCUCAGUAAGAGUUCUUGAACCAACUGUCUUGAAUGAUUCUAGGUAGGCCUCUACACCUGAGGAUUGCUUGAAGCCGCCUUCAUCAAAGCCAUCAGAUAUGGGUUCAACGCCUACGUUGGGGGCAUGGAUCGAGUUUACUGUGUAAGGGGUGGUGGCGAAAGUGGCCUUGACUCCUUUGGAGGCCAAGCGCUUAGCAAACUGAAGGAGGGGGUUAAUGUGGCCUUGAGCAGGAUAAGGGAUAACAAUGACAUGGCAUCUUGGAUCGGCCAUCAGCUUUG